rnacentral:rRNA from 1 species
UAGGGUGGUUAUAGCGGUGGGCUCACCUGUUCCCAUUCCGAACACAGAAGUUAAGCCCACCAGCGCCGAUGGUACUGCUAACGCGGAGAGUAGGUCGCCGCCAGUU